rnacentral:rRNA from 1 species
UCCGUAGGUGAACCUGCGGAAGGAUCAUUACCGAGUGAGGGCUGCCUCCGGGCGCCCAACCUCCCACCCGUGACUACCUAACACUGUUGCUUCGGCGGGGAGCCCUCUCGGGGGCGAGCCGCCGGGGACUACUGAACUUCAUGCCUGAGAGUGAUGCAGUCUGAGUCUGAAUAUAAAAUCAGUCAAAACUUUCAACAAUGGAUCUCUUGGUUCCGGCAUCGAUGAAGAACGCAGCGAACUGCGAUAAGUAAUGUGAAUUGCAGAAUUCAGUGAAUCAUCGAGUCUUUGAACGCACAUUGCGCCCCCUGGCAUUCCGGGGGGCAUGCCUGUCCGAGCGUCAUUGCUGCCCAUCAAGCCCGGCUUGUGUGUUGGGUCGUCGUCCCCCCCGGGGGACGGGCCCGAAAGGCAGCGGCGGCACCGUGUCCGGUCCUCGAGCGUAUGGGGCUUUGUCACCCGCUCGAUUAGGGCCGGCCGGGCGCCAGCCGACGUCUCCAACCAUUUUCUUCAGGUUGACCUCGGAUCAGGUAGGGAUACCCGCUGAACUUAAGCAUAUCAAUAAGCGGAGGA